CCUACGGGGGGCAGCAGUGGGGAAUAUUGCACAAUGGGGGAAACCCUGAUGCAGCGACGCCGCGUGAGUGAAGAAGUAAUUCGUUACGUAAAGCUCUAUCAGUAGGGAAGAUAAUGACGGUAUCUGAGUAAGAAGCACCGGCUAACUACGUGCCAGCAGCCGCGGUAAUACGUAGGGGGCAAGCGUUAUCCGGAUUCACUGGGCGUAAAGAGAGCGUAGACGGUGCGGCAAGUCUGGUGUGAAAUGC
rnacentral:rRNA from 1 species